GUGUCCUCCUGAUAUCUGUCUGUUUUCACAGAAAUGGCAGAGGAGGGAAAUAACCCAAAGGCUCAGGGAUCUGGGAUGGAGGAGACCCUUCAGCAGCUCUGGCAGGAAAUGAAAGCUGUGUGUGAAGAUCUCCAGAAAGGGCUGGAAUCCAAAAGCGAGAGCGAGGCCAAGGCCUCAAAGGUCCCUGAAUCAUGCACAAAGGAGGACUUCCAGGAGCUCAUCCAACAAAUGAAAGCUUUGCGUGAAGAUCUCCAGAAAUUGCAGGAAUCC